rnacentral:rRNA from 1 species
GGUUAAGCGACUAAGCGUACACGGUGGAUGCCCUGGCAGUCAGAGGCGAUGAAGGACGUGCUAAUCUGCGAUAAGCGCCGGUAAGGUGAUAUGAACCGUUAUAACCGGCGAUUUCCGAAUGGGGAAACCCAGUGUGAUUCGUCACACUAUCAUUAACUGAAUCCAUAGGUUAAUGAGGCGAACCGGGGGAACUGAAACAUCUAAGUACCCCGAGGAAAAGAAAUCAACCGAGAUUCCCCCAGUAGCGGCGAGCGAACGGGGAGGAGCCCAGAGCCUGAAUCAGCAUGUGUGUUAGUGGAAGCGUCUGGAAAGGCGCGCGAUACAGGGUGACAGCCCCGUACACAAAAGCGCAUGUGCUGUGAGCUCGAUGAGUAGGGCGGGACACGUGGUAUCCUGUCUGAAUAUGGGGGGACCAUCCUCCAAGGCUAAAUACUCCUGACUGACCGAUAGUGAACCAGUACCGUGAGGGAAAGGCGAAAAGAACCCCGGCGAGGGGAGUGAAAAAGAACCUGAAACCGUGUACGUACAAGCAGUGGGAGCACAGGUUUACCUGUGUGACUGCGUACCUUUUGUAUAAUGGGUCAGCGACUUAUAUUCUGUAGCAAGGUUAACCGUAUAGGGGAGCCGUAGGGAAACCGAGUCUUAACCGGGCGUUAAGUUGCAGGGUAUAGACCCGAAACCCGGUGAUCUAGCCAUGGGCAGGUUGAAGGUUGGGUAACACUAACUGGAGGACCGAACCGACUAAUGUUGAAAAAUUAGCGGAUGACCUGUGGCUGGGGGUGAAAGGCCAAUCAAACCGGGAGAUAGCUGGUUCUCCCCGAAAGCUAUUUAGGUAGCGCCUCGUGAAUUCAUCUCCGGGGGUAGAGCACUGUUUCGGCUAGGGGGCCAUCCCGGCUUACCAACCCGAUGCAAACUGCGAAUACCGGAGAAUGUUAUCACGGGAGACACACGGCGGGUGCUAACGUCCGUCGUGAAGAGGGAAACAACCCAGACCGCCAGCUAAGGUCCCAAAGUCAUGGUUAAGUGGGAAACGAUGUGGGAAGGCCCAGACAGCCAGGAUGUUGGCUUAGAAGCAGCCAUCAUUUAAAGAAAGCGUAAUAGCUCACUGGUCGAGUCGGCCUGCGCGGAAGAUGUAACGGGGCUAAACCAU